CCUACGGGAGGCAGCAGUAGGGAAUAUUGGUCAAUGGGCGAGAGCCUGAACCAGCCAUGCCGCGUGCAGGAUGAAGGCCUUAUGGGUUGUAAACUGCUUUUAUCAGGGAAGAAAAGACUUCUGCGGAAGAGAUUGACGGUACCUGACGAAUAAGCACCGGCUAACUACGUGCCAGCAGCCGCGGUA
rnacentral:rRNA from 1 species